AUGGCUCAGGAUGAACGCUAGCGGCAGGCUUAACACAUGCAAGUCGAGGGGCAGCGGGAUGUAGCAAUACAUUGCCGGCGACCGGCGGAUGGGUGCGUAACGCGUAUGCAACCUACCUUAUACAGGGGAAUAACCUUUCGAAAGGGAGACUAACACCCCAUAGUAUUGAUUUAAGGCAUCUUAGAUUAAUUAAAUAUUUAUAGGUAUAAGAUGGGCAUGCGUAUGAUUAGCUAGUUGGUAAGGUAACGGCUUACCAAGGCGACGAUCAUUAGGGGUUCUGAGAGGAAGGUCCCCCACACUGGUACUGAGACACGGACCAGACUCCUACGGGAGGCAGCAGUGAGGAAUAUUGGUCAAUGGGCGCAAGCCUGAACCAGCCAUGCCGCGUGCAGGAAAAGACGGCCUUAUGGGUUGUAAACUGCUUUUACAUAAGACUAACCGUAUAUUUGCGAAUAUACCUGAAUGUAUUAUGAGAAUAAGGAUCGGCUAACUCCGUGCCAGCCGCAGC
rnacentral:rRNA from 1 species